UGCAAGCCCUUCAAGAGAUGC
rnacentral:misc_RNA from 1 species